rnacentral:rRNA from 1 species
AACGUAGGAGGCAAGCGUUAUCCGAAUUUACUGGGCGUAAAGCGUGUGCAGGCGGCUCAAUAAGUUGGGUGUGAAAUCUCCUGGCUCAACUGGGAGAGGUCGCUCAAGACUGUUGGGCUGGAGGUCGGUAGAGGAAGGUGGAAUUCCCGGUGUAGUGGUGAAAUGCGUAGAUAUCGGGAGGAACACCAGUGGCGAAAGCGGCCUUCUGGACCGAUCCUGACGCUCAUACACGAAAGCUAGGGGAGCGAACGGG